CCUGGGUCAGAUUGAACGCGGCGGCAGGCCUAACACAUGCAAGUCGAACGGUAACAGGAAGAAGCUUGCUUCUUUGCUGACGAGUGGCGGACGGGUGAGUAAUGUCUGGGAAACUGCCUGAUGGAGGGGGAUAACUACUGGAAACGGUAGCUAAUACCGCAUAACGUCGCAAGACCAAAGAGGGGGACCUUCGGGCCUCUUGCCAUCGGAUGUGCCCAGAUGGGAUUAGCUUGUUGGUGGGGUAACGGCUCACCAAGGCGACGAUCCCUAGCUGGUCUGAGAGGAUGACCAGCCACACUGGAACUGAGACACGGUCCAGACUCCUACGGGAGGCAGCAGUGGGGAAUAUUGCACAAUGGGCGCAAGCCUGAUGCAGCCAUGCCGCGUGUAUGAAGAAGGCCUUCGGGUUGUAAAGUACUUUCAGCGGGGAGGAAGGGAGUAAAGUUAAUACCUUUGCUCAUUGACGUUACCCGCAGAAGAAGCACCGGCUAACUCCGUGCCAGCAGCCGCGGUAAUACGGAGGGUGCAAGCGUUAAUCGGAAUUACUGGGCGUAAAGCGCACGCAGGCGGUUUGUUAAGUCAGAUGUGAAAUCCCCGGGCUCAACCUGGGAACUGCAUCUGAUACUGGCAAGCUUGAGUCUCGUAGAGGGGGGUAGAAUUCCAGGUGUAGCGGUGAAAUGCGUAGAGAUCUGGAGGAAUACCGGUGGCGAAGGCGGCCCCCUGGACGAAGACUGACGCUCAGGUGCGAAAGCGUGGGGAGCAAACAAGAUUAGAUACCCUGGUAGUCCACGCCGUAAACGAUGUCGACUUGGAGGUUGUGCCCUUGAGGCGUGGCUCCCGGAGCUAACGCGUUAAGUCGACCGCCUGGGGAGUACGGCCGCAAGGUUAAAACUCAAAUGAAUUGACGGGGGCCCGCACAAGCGGUGGAGCAUGUGGUUUAAUUCGAUGCAACGCGAAGAACCUUACCUGGUCUUGACAUCCACGGAAGUUUUCAGAGAUGAGAAUGUGCCUUCGGGAACCGUGAGACAGGUGCUGCAUGGCUGUCGUCAGCUCGUGUUGUGAAAUGUUGGGUUAAGUCCCGCAACGAGCGCAACCCUUAUCCUUUGUUGCCAGCGGUCCGGCCGGGAACUCAAAGGAGACUGCCAGUGAUAAACUGGAGGAAGGUGGGGAUGACGUCAAGUCAUCAUGGCCCUUACGACCAGGGCUACACACGUGCUACAAUGGCGCAUACAAAGAGAAGCGACCUCGCGAGAGCAAGCGGACCUCAUAAAGUGCGUCGUAGUCCGGAUUGGAGUCUGCAACUCGACUCCAUGAAGUCGGAAUCGCUAGUAAUCGUGGAUCAGAAUGCCACGGUGAAUACGUUCCCGGGCCUUGUACACACCGCCCGUCACACCAUGGGAGUGGGUUGCAAAAGAAGUAGGUAGCUUAACCUUCGGGAGGGCGCUUACCACUUUGUGAUUCAUGACUGGGGUGAAGUC
rnacentral:rRNA from 1 species